rnacentral:rRNA from 1 species
AGCAGCCGCGGUAAUUCCAGCUCCAAUAGCGUAUAUUAAAGUUGUUGCAGUUAAAAAGCUCGUAGUUGAAUUUCGGGAUCAAUACGUCGGUCGUGCUUCGGUACGUACUGGCGUAAUUGAUUUCUCCCUUCUGACGAACCAUGAUGUCAUUAACUUGGUGUCAUGGGAAAUCAGGACUGUUACUUUGAAAAAAUUAGAGUGUUUAAAGCAAGCAUACGCUUGAAUACAUCAGCAUGGAAUAAUGAACUAGGACGUUUGAUUCUAUUUUGUUGGUUUCUAGGAUCGACGUAAUGAUUAAUAGGGAUAGUUGGGGGCAUUAGUAUUCAAUUGUCAGAGGUGAAAUUCUUGGAUUUAUUGAAGACUAACUACUGCGAAAGCAUUUGCCAAGGAUGUUUUCAUUAAUCAAGAACGAAAGUUAGGGGAUCGAAGACGAUCAGAUACCGUCGUAGUCUUAACCAUAAACUAUGCCGACUAGGGAUCGGAUGAUGUUAUUUUUAAUGUACUCAU